rnacentral:rRNA from 1 species
UGAUCCUGCCAGUAGUCAUAUGCUUGUCUCAAAGAUUAAGCCAUGCAUGUCUAAGUACAAGCCUCACUAAGGUGAAACCGCGAAUGGCUCAUUAAAUCACACCUAAUCUACUGGAUGGUUAACAGUUACUUGGAUAACUGCGGUAAUUCUGGAGCUAAUACAUGCACAAAGCCUCGAACUUACGUGAGAGGCGCUUUUAUUAGAUCAAAACCAAACGUUUUCGAACGUUUUCUUGGUGACUCUGAAUAACUUUUGGCUGAUCGCAUAGCCUUGCGCUGGCGACAUAUCCUUCGAAGGUGUGCCCUAUCAACUGUCGACUGUGGCAUAGACGCCCACAGUGGUUUUGACGGGUAACGGGGAAUCAGGGUUCGAUUCCGGAGAGGGAGCCUUAAAAACGGCUACCACAUCUAAGGAAGGCAGCAGGCACGCAAAUUACCCAAUGACCGCAGGUCGAGGUAGUGACGAAAAAUAACGAUACGGGACUCAUCCGAGGCCCCGUAAUCGGAAUGAGUACACUUUAAAACCGUCCCCGAGGAUCUAUUGGAGGGCAAGUCUGGUGCCAGCAGCCGCGGUAAUUCCAGCUCCAAUAGCGUAUAUUAAAGUUGUUGUGGUUAAAAAGCUCGUAGUUGGAUCUCAGCAGUUUGAGGUUGGUGUACUUGCUAGUACUACUGCCCUAUAGACUGUAGUUUUGCCAGAGGUAGUUGGGUGCUCUUAAUCGAGUGUCCUAUUAUGCUGGCAGGUUUACUUUGAAAAAAUUAGAGUGCUCAAAGCAGGCUAUUACGCCUGAAUAUUCGUGCAUGGAAUAAUAGAAUAGGAAGUCGUUUCUAUUUUGUUGGUUUUUAAGUUUCGACUUAAUGAUUAAUAGGGACAAACGGGGGCAUUUGUAUUCAAACGACAGAGGUGAAAUUCUUGGACCGUUUGAAGACAAACUACUGCGAAAGCAUUUGCCAAGAGUGUUUUCAUUAAUCAAGAACGAAAGUUAGAGGUUCGAAGGCGAUUAGAUACCGCCCUAGUUCUAACCAUAAACGAUGCCAGCUAGCGAUCUGCCGACGUUUUUUUUGUAGACUCGGCAGGAAGCUUCCGGGAAACCAAAGCAUUUGGGUUCCAGGGGAAGUAUGGUUGCAAAGCUGAAACUUAAAGGAAUUGACGGAAGGGCACCACCAGGAGUGGAGCCUGUGGCUUAAUUUGACUCAACACGGGAAAUCUCACCAGGCCCGGACACUGGAAGGAUUGACAGAUUGAUAGCUCUUUCUUGAUUCGGUGGGUGGUGGUGCAUGGCCGUUCUUAGUUGGUGGAGUGAUUUGUCUGGUUAAUUCCGAUAACGAACGAGACUCUGUCCUGCUAAAUAGUGUCGGCUUCUCUUUUGAGCCGACAAUUCUUCUUAGAGGGACUGGCAACUCUCAGUUGCACGAGAUUGAGCAAUAACAGGUCUGUGAUGCCCUUAGAUGUUCUGGGCCGCACACGCGCUACACUGAAUAGAUCAGCGUGUUCUCCCUUUCUGAGAAGAACGGGUAAACCGCUGAACCCUAUUCGUGGUAGGGAUCGGGGCUUGCAAUUGUUCCCCGUGAACCAGGAAUUCCCAGUAGGCGCCAGUCAUAAGCUGGCGUCGAUUACGUCCCUGCCCUUUGUACACACCGCCCGUCGCUACUACCGAUUGAACGUUUUAGUGAGGUCCUCGGACUG